rnacentral:rRNA from 1 species
CCUACGGGAGGCAGCACUGGGGAAUAUUGGACAAUGGGCGAAAGCCUGAUCCAGCCCUGCCGCGUGGGUGAAGAAGCCUUUAGGGUUGUAAACCCCUUUCAGCGGGGAAGAUAAUGACGGUACCCGCAGAAGAAGCUCCGGCUAACUCCGUGCCAGCAGCCGCGGUAAUACGGAGGGAGCGAGCGUUGUUCGGAAUUACUGGGCGUAAAGCGAGCGUAGGCGGAUUUUCAAGUCAGGGGUGAAAUCCUGAGGCUCAACCUGGGAACUGCCUUUGAUACUGAUCGUCUUGAGUCCGAGAGAGGUGAGUGGAAUUCCUAGUGUAGAGGUGAAAUUCGUAGAUAUUAGGAAGAACACCAGUGGCGAAGGCGGCUCACUGGCUCGGUUCUGACGCUGAGGCGCGAAAGCGUGGGGAGCAAACAGGAUUAGAUACCCCGGUAGUCC